AGGGCGGAGGGGCGGGGCGGGGCGUCGAAGGAGGCGGGACCGGUUACUACUAAUUGUGUUCGGGGGCCCUGGGAGCAGGGGGAAGGCGGGGCUAGAUACCAGAGAGAGAGACCUGAUUGAACUGAAAAAGUGCAGGUGGGGCAGAAGGAGGUGGGGACAAGUCAAAGUUAUUUAAAAGAGCCCGACUGGCCUGGAGGGGCGGGGCCACCAUGAGAGCGGCGGUCCUGAUUGGACUGAGGAAGGGGCGGAGAGAAACAAAAGAGAUGGCCCGCCCUCACCUAAAACACCGCUGGGCAGGACAUGAUGGGGAGGAGCAUUGCUUGGAAGGGGCAGAGCCUCAGAAAGUAGUAAUAGUGUAGAUGUGACUGCUCUGGGGCGGGAACUAGAGACGGAGGACUUUCCCGCGCAAGGGGAACAGGCUGGACUGAAAGGGGACCAGGCUGGACUGAAAGGGGACGGGGGAGGAGAUCAAAGACAGACUCGGUGAGAAGGCGUGGAGACUUGAGAGAGGCCUGAAAACCCGAGAGCGUCUGGAUAGGCCUGAAGGAGGGGGCGAGUAAAGAGGGGCGGGGCUGAGGGUGCAAGGUGGGUCUGGUUAGUCGGGGCUGGGUCCGGAGGAUGAGUGUCCCGUUGGAUCGGUGGGACUGAGGAAGGUGAGUGGGGGUCGACAAACGGAAAACGUUUUGAGGCCGGACGCGGUGGCUCACACCUGUAAUCCCGGCACUUUGGGAGGCCGAGGUGGGUAGAUCAUUUGAGGUCGGGAGUUCGAGACCAGCCUGGUCAAAAUGGUGAAAUCCCGCCUCCACUAAAAAUACAAAACUUAGCCGGGAGUGCUAGUGGGUGCCUGUAGUCCCAGCUACUCGGGAGGCUGAGGCAGGAGAAAUCGCUUGAACCCAGGAGGCAGAGGUUGCAGUGAGUCGAGAUUGCACCACUACCCUCCAGUCUGGACGACAGAGAGACACUCUGUCUCAAAAAAUAAAAAGAUAAAGACUUGAAUGGGCGGUAGGAAGGAGAGACUAAGGGAGGAGCGGGGCUGUGAGGGGCUUAAAGCAACCAGGGCAGGCGAGGGCAGGGCAGAGCUAAGGGAGGGUAGAGGAACAGGAUAGGUGGGUCCCAGAGGAACAGUGGGACUGCAAGGAGUACAAAGCUACUGGGCUGGAUGGAAGAGAGGGACCGGGAACGGGGAGUCUUGGGGAUCAGAGGACCUGGGAGAGGGCACUGCCUAAAGGUCACGGGAUCCUCAAAGGGCGGGGCGAGAACUUCCAACGUAGGCUACACCGCGGAGUACUGCAGAUUGGAGGACCGGGGGUAGAUGAGGACUGGUGAGGAUGCAAGUAGGCAGAGAGGACGGGAGAGGGGAUAGGCAAAAGCGCUAGGAAGAACCGUCAAGACUGAGGCAAUAGGCAGGACCGGUAAAAAAUGAGGUGGGCUAGGAGUCUGAGAGGCCAGGUCCGGGGAAGCGGGUGGCGAAUUAGGGGCGGGUGGCCAGGAAAAGGGACCGCCUCGGAGCAGGCAGGGCCCGCCCCUUGGGCGGUCCUAAGCUCCGGGAAGCAGGGCGCAGGCGCAGGGGGCUGGGGCGGGGCCAGCGGCUGCGGCUGGGGCUGCGGAGGGAGGAGGCGGCGCCUGCGGGAUGAAGAGGGCGGGUCAGAGGGCUGCGGGCGCCCUCGGGCAGCGCAGUUCCUGGCCCUCCGCCUCCCGCUGCAGUUGCGGCGGCCGGUCUCUGUCUCUACUUCUUGGGGACCCUGUCCCCUUCUCUUUGGGUCUCCAUCUCUUUCAGCUCCCCCAUCACCCCCUCUAACCCCCGUCCUGGCUAGGACUGCGUCACUGCAGAGAGAGUUGCAGAAGUGGGGCCUGUCCUGCAGCCCAGGAAGGUCGUUGCCCUCACUCCCCAGACCCAGGGCUCUCCACUGCACCAAUCCACCAUGUCCUCCAGCUUCCGAUGGGACCCAAGAGGGCAGAGAAAAGACAUAGGUACUUCCCGCCCCGAAUUCUGGUGCACCACCAGGCAGAAGCAUCGAAUCCUGAGACAGAAGCCAGGCACAGGAUCAAGUGACCAAAUCAGCGUUUUUUUGCAGAGGUCAGAAGGUAUGGGAGAAGGCAGGGGCUGUGGGGGAAAGGGACUGGAAUAAGGAGCAAUGUGCGAUGCGACUCAGGAUUAGAGGCCCUGGGAGGGGAAGAGGCAGCGGGCUGGGAUAGCAGGCUGGUCCACACUCCAUCAGGCCCUGGGAAACUUGGGAUACCGACAUUCCCUCUUGUGGAGGAUGUGUGAGCCUGGAGUCUCCACCCACCCAUUAGAGAGGAGGGGGCUUCUGGAAGCAUGAGGGCUCCACAUACUGGACACUCAGCUAUAUUCGCAGACCAGGGGGAAGUAGCCUCGACUCUUGACUAGGGACACCAGGAGGGGAGAGGCCAACGUCUGUCCGCGUUUUCAGUUCCUUUUCCCACCCCUGCUCCUCCCCAAUCCAUUCGUUCCCAGGCCCUCGAAGCACAAAAUUCCUGAAAGCUCCAACUCCCAUCUCCCGUCAUCCUCGGCGUCCCCUGACAACCAUCUCUACCCCAGGCCCUGGAAGUGGGGAAGAGUCUUCCCCUCCCUGACUUCUAGGACCCCUUCCUUAUUCCUCCGCCGGUUCCAUUCGGAGCCUUGGUCUCAGGACACCAAGGCUGAAAAUGUGAGGACUCCCUGCCUACGAUCCUUCCUCCCCCAAGACGCUGCAAGUUCCUUGGCCCCCAAAAGCCCAGAGUCGAGGGGAAUCUCUCCGCUAUAAUCUUUGGGUCCCCGGAUCCGAAGUCCCCCGCCUCCAAAACUAGGAUUCGGGCUGUCUUACCGCCCCCGGACCCAGAGCCUUCGCCCCCUCCCCCGUACUCACCCCAAGUCGAGGCGAGGCGGGGAUGGGGGAAUCCGGGACUCGAGAUAGGGGGAGGGGUGACCCAGCCCCGGCAGCUCUGGGCAGCAAGAGGCUGCGGAGGGGGGAGUGACAUCACCGCCGGAGGAGGGGCAGCACCGCUCCCCCAGCCCAGGGGCUUCAAGCUCCGCCUUUAUGGCGGACCCUGGGGUCCUUAAAUCCCAAGGGAGAGAGGAGAACCAGGAGAUGAGGUCCGAGGGAAUGCUAUCCCCGCCCCUUAGAACAGGAACUGGUAAACCCGUACCGAUUACAGCCACCCCCCACUGCCACCUGUCGCUGCCGUCGCGACCUGUCGCCUCCCACGCAUGUUGUGGCUGCGCCCGCCCCCGUCAGGGCGUAACCACAGCAUGGACUACAACGACCGUGAUGCUCCGCAGCGCCGGGAGCCUUUGACGAAAGGCAGCGUAGACGAGGGGGCUUCAUGGGACUCGUAGUACAAGACCCCUCACCAGGGUGGGCCCUGGAGAAAAGGGGUGAUACCCUUGGCCUCUCUCUCUUCCUCAACUCCGUGGGUCCAUGCACAAAGUUUCUCCUCAAAAAGUGCGCUCGGAAAAGAAGCAACCUAGGCAGGUUUGUUCAAUGGAAAUACUGGAUUUUACUGAGUAGCGUUAGCGUUGCUACCCGCUGCGCAUGCGCAAUGCCUGGGCGUCACCCGUGGAACUGCGCCUGAGCUGUCUCAGCCUGAGCCGAGCAGGUCAGCUCCGCGAGUGCGCGCGCGCGCGCGCCAGGCCCACUCGGGCGCCGCUCUUCAGGUCCCCGCGGUCGAAGACGGCCACAUACGCCCCCAAGAAGACGUCGCCGAGGAUCCACAUGGGUCCUUGAGGCGAAGGGAUGUCCAAACCCCGGAAGCCGGACAAGCAGAAGCGGAAGUCAUCCUGAACAAACUGGAUGGCGGCAAGGCGGCAACUGGGUGUCGCGGCCUCAGGGACCACCAUUUCCCUGGGAGUCUGUGUUCCCUCCGCCCCCAACCCCGGGGACAAGAGAUGAUUCUGUGGCCCCUUCCUGUCCUAGUGAUGACUAACUCCCAGCUCCACCGUCUCAAUCCCAGUCAUAUUACAUCACUGCGGCGUCAUGGUGACGGACACCUACCUGAAUGACGUAAUCCUGGGCCGUGAGAUUAAACCAGACCCCCCCAAGGAAGAGGGAGACUGCGGGGAGCUGUGGGAUUUUUGAGCACCGGAUGAUGUACUGGGAAAGAAGAGGAACAAGUUAAGAUGAGAGAUUCCUGCCCUGCUCAAAUCCUGUCUGUAAUGUACGUAUGGAGCACCUGGGCGUUCAGCACCGUGUGUGGACAACUCUGUUGCCUAGGCUUCUCAUCUAGUCCCAAACAAAACUGCAUUAUCAUCUUCCACCCACCCCCACUCCCACCUCUGCUUCCCCAUCCACUGAGCCACUCAGCAUAGACACUUGGGAAGUAUCUUUGUUUCUUCCCACCACUCUCCAGCAUGUCACUUAAGAAGCCCAGUCCCUUCGCAGGGCGCGGCGGCUCAUGACUGUAAUCCCAGCACUUUGGGAGGCCGAGGUGGGUGGAUCACCUGAGGUCAGGAGUUCGAGGCCAGCUUGGCCGAUACGGUGAAAACCUGUCUCUACUAAAAACACAAAAAUAAUUAGCUGGACGUGGUGGUGAGCACCUGUAAUCCCAGCUACUUGGGAGGCUGAGCCAGGAGAAUCGCUUCAAACCUGGAGGCAAAGGCUGCAGUGAGUCAAGAUCAUGCCAUUGCACUUCAGCCUGGGCAGCAAAAGCAAAACUCUGUCUCAAAAAAAAAGAAGGAGCCCAGUCCCCUCUGUCCUGGAUACACCCUAGCUACCUGCUUCCCACCCUCAGGCCCCAGUGUUCGCCACCAAAUUGCCACCAUCUUCCCCAGGACACACCCACCAGAAACUGUAAUCUCACCACCCCUGCCAGCAAGGGGAUUCCCCCAAUGGCUUUAUGUAGGGCCCGGAUCUCCUCAGCAGGUCCUAUGAUGACAGGUGUGCCCGUAUCCAGGAUGGCACUACAGCCCUGGGCACAGAGAGUCAGCUCUGAGCCCCACCUUCACACUGAGAGGGGAGGAGGCAGUCAGUAGAGGCAGGCUCCUAGGAGUCCAGGUCCCCAGCCUCCUGCUCCAGACCCAGGAGACUAAGUCCCUUACUGCUCCAUGUGGAUCUGCCAGUAGGCAGGGACUUCGACUGGCACAAAGGUGAGGGGUGGGAUGUAGUGUGCCUGGUCGGAGCCCCCCAGGACCAGCUCUCCUCCAUCAGCCACUUCAGGGUCCCUGCAGGGGCAGAGGUUAGAGGUCAGUGUCACUGGCCCUCCCCCUGCCAGCCCUAGCAGUGGCCAGAGAUGGGACUUCCUGCCAAUUGGGUCAGUUUAGGGGUUCUGGGUGGGGGAGGGGAAUACAAGCAGGGCCUAGAUGUUGAGACUGGAAACAAGAAAUGAAGGGAGAUGGUGCUUGUCUUGAUUGAAGUUAGGACUUUAGGAUGAUGGGUACUGCCUGAAAUGGAGAAGAGACUUCAUUUGGCUGUGGAAGGUAGAGCUUUUGGGGGAAUUUCCUGAGCUGAAUAUUGUAGUAACCAAGCAGACCAGGGAAGAAGUCUUAGAAUUGGCUCUUGAAGAUGUGACUUGUGCAGGAGUGGGGUGGCUUCCUGGGAAGGCAGAGAGACUUUCUGGAUUGCCUGUUGUGGUAUCUGUAAGGUAUUUUAGGCUGACUGACUGUGCCAUGGAUGGCAUGGUAACCUCUGUGACCUGCACAUACACUCCAGAUGAGUUCCUGGAACUAGAAAGUCUGAAGUAAAAGGAACACCACAAAAAGAGUGAGUAACUCUGCCAGGCCUAAUUGACUUUGAGACAUUCUUCUAUUGUUCCUUAUUUCCACCUCAACUGAUAAGGCAAUUGGACUUUGUAACCAACUUUGGUCAAUCUCAUGACUCCAGACCCUACGACCCCCUCCCAGCUUGCAAAAACCGCCCUGAACUGUAACUUCUGUAACUUUCCACUGCCUACCCCAAACCUAUAAAACCAACUCCUAUCCCACCACC